GUACACAAAAAUGCACAUGCUGUGAGCUCGAUGAGUAGGGCGGGACACGUGGUAUCCUGUCUGAAUAUGGGGGGACCAUCCUCCAAGGCUAAAUACUCCUGACUGACCGAUAGUGAACCAGUACCGUGAGGGAAAGGCGAAAAGAACCCCGGCGAGGGGAGUGAAAAAGAACCUGAAACCGUGUACGUACAAGCAGUGGGAGCACGCUUAGGCGUGUGACUGCGUACCUUUUGUAUAAUGGGUCAGCGACUUAUAUUCUGUAGCAAGGUUAACCGAAUAGGGGAGCCGAAGGGAAACCGAGUCUUAACUGGGCGUUAAGUUGCAGGGUAUAGACCCGAAACCCGGUGAUCUAGCCAUGGGCAGGUUGAAGGUUGGGUAACACUAACUGGAGGACCGAACCGACUAAUGUUGAAAAAUUAGCGGAUGACUUGUGGCUGGGGGUGAAAGGCCAAUCAAACCGGGAGAUAGCUGGUUCUCCCCGAAAGCUAUUUAGGUAGCGCCUCGUGAAUUCAUCUCCGGGGGUAGAGCACUGUUUCGGCAAGGGGGUCAUCCCGACUUACCAACCCGAUGCAAACUGCGAAUACCGGAGAAUGUUAUCACGGGAGACACACGGCGGGUGCUAACGUCCGUCGUGAAGAGGGAAACAACCCAGACCGCCAGCUAAGGUCCCAAAGUCAUGGUUAAGUGGGAAACGAUGUGGGAAGGCCCAGACAGCCAGGAUGUUGGCUUAGAAGCAGCCAUCAUUUAAAGAAAGCGUAAUAGCUCACUGGUCGAGUCGGCCUGCGCGGAAGAUGUAACGGGGCUAAACCAUGCACCGAAGCUGCGGCAGCGACACUGUGUGUUGUUGGGUAGGGGAGCGUUCUGUAAGCCUGCGAAGGUGUGCUGUGAGGCAUGCUGGAGGUAUCAGAAGUGCGAAUGCUGACAUAAGUAACGAUAAAGCGGGUGAAAAGCCCGCUCGCCGGAAGACCAAGGGUUCCUGUCCAACGUUAAUCGGGGCAGGGUGAGUCGACCCCUAAGGCGAGGCCGAAAGGCGUAGUCGAUGGGAAACAGGUUAAUAUUCCUGUACUUGGUGUUACUGCGAAGGGGGGACGGAGAAGGCUAUGUUGGCCGGGCGACGGUUGUCCCGGUUUAAGCGUGUAGGCUGGUUUUCCAGGCAAAUCCGGAAAAUCAAGGCUGAGGCGUGAUGACGAGGCACUACGGUGCUGAAGCAACAAAUGCCCUGCUUCCAGGAAAAGCCUCUAAGCAUCAGGUAACAUCAAAUCGUACCCCAAACCGACACAGGUGGUCAGGUAGAGAAUACCAAGGCGCUUGAGAGAACUCGGGUGAAGGAACUAGGCAAAAUGGUGCCGUAACUUCGGGAGAAGGCACGCUGAUAUGUAGGUGAAGUCCCUCGCGGAUGGAGCUGAAAUCAGUCGAAGAUACCAGCUGGCUGCAACUGUUUAUUAAAAACACAGCACUGUGCAAACACGAAAGUGGACGUAUACGGUGUGACGCCUGCCCGGUGCCGGAAGGUUAAUUGAUGGGGUCAGCGCAAGCGAAGCUCUUGAUCGAAGCCCCGGUAAACGGCGGCCGUAACUAUAACGGUCCUAAGGUAGCGAAAUUCCUUGUCGGGUAAGUUCCGACCUGCACGAAUGGCGUAAUGAUGGCCAGGCUGUCUCCACCCGAGACUCAGUGAAAUUGAACUCGCUGUGAAGAUGCAGUGUACCCGCGGCAAGACGGAAAGACCCCGUGAACCUUUACUAUAGCUUGACACUGAACAUUGAGCCUUGAUGUGUAGGAUAGGUGGGAGGCUUUGAAGUGUGGACGCCAGUCUGCAUGGAGCCGACCUUGAAAUACCACCCUUUAAUGUUUGAUGUUCUAACGUUGACCCGU
rnacentral:rRNA from 1 species